rnacentral:rRNA from 1 species
AACGAACGCUGGCGGCAGGCUUAACACAUGCAAGUCGAACGCCCCGCAAGGGGAGUGGCAGACGGGUGAGUAACGCGUGGGAAUCUACCCAUCUCUGCGGAAUAGCUCCGGGAAACUGGAAUUAAUACCGCAUACGCCCUACGGGGGAAAGACUUAUCGGGGAUGGAUGAGCCCGCGUUGGAUUAGCUAGUUGGUGGGGUAAAGGCCUACCAAGGCGACGAUCCAUAGCUGGUCUGAGAGGAUGAUCAGCCACAUUGGGACUGAGACACGGCCCAAACUCCUACGGGAGGCAGCAGUGGGGAAUAUUGGACAAUGGGCGCAAGCCUGGUCCAGCCAUGCCGCGUGAGUGAUGAAGGCCUUAGGGUUGUAAAGCUCUUUCACCGGUGAAGAUAAUGACGGUAACCGGAGAAGAAGCCCCGGCUAACUUCGUGCCAGCCGCCGCGGUAA